rnacentral:rRNA from 1 species
UCGCGCAAACUUUGCAAUACACGAAAGUGUGACAGGGCUAUCCCGAGUGCCGUCCGCUGAGGAUGGCUUUUAACCAGUCUAGAAAGCUGGUAGAAUAAGGAGAGGGCAAGUCUGGUGUCAGCCGCCGCGGUAAUACCAGCUCUCCGAGUGGUGUGGAUGUUUAUUGGGCCUAAAGCAUCCGUAGCUGGCCAAGCUAGUCCCCUGUUAAACCCACCGAAUUAAUCGUUGGAUUGCGGGGGAUACUGCUCGGCUAGGGGACGAGAGAGGCCGACGGUAUUCUCGGGGUAGGGGUGAAAUCCUAUAAUCCCGGGAAGACCACCAGUGGCGAAGGCUGUCGGCUAGAACGAGCCCGACGGUGAGGGAUGAAGCCCUGGGGCGCAAACGGGAUUAGAUACCCCGGUAGUCCAGGGUGUAAACGCUGCGGGCUUGGUGUCGGAGGUCCUACGGGGGCGUCCGGUGCCGGAGAGAAAUUGUUAAGCCUGCCGCUUGGGGAGUACGGUCGCAAGACUGAAACUUAAAGGAAUUGGCGGGAGAGCACCGCG